rnacentral:rRNA from 1 species
UGGGGAAUAUUGGACAAUGGGCGCAAGCCUGAUCCAGCCAUGCCGCGUGAGUGAUGAAGGCCCUAGGGUUGUAAAGCUCUUUCACCGGUGAAGAUAAUGACGGUAACCGGAGAAGAAGCCCCGGCUAACUUCGUGCCAGCAGCCGCGGUAAUACGAAGGGGGCUAGCGUUGUUCGGAUUUACUGGGCGUAAAGCGCACGUAGGCGGACUAUUAAGUCAGGGGUGAAAUCCCGGGGCUCAACCCCGGAACUGCCUUUGAUACUGGUAGUCUUGAGUACGAGAGAGGUGAGUGGAAGUCCGGGUGUAGAGGUGAAAUUCGUAGAUAUUCGGAGGAACACCAGUGGCGAAGGCGGCUCACUGGCUGGAUACUGACGCUGAGGUGCGAAAGCGUGGGGAGCAAACAGG